CAAGCGGUGGAGCAUGUGGUUUAAUUCGAAGCAACGCGAAGAACCUUACCAAAUCUUGACAUCCUUUGACAACUCUAGAGAUAGAGCCUUCCCCUUCGGGGGACAAAGUGACAGGUGGUGCAUGGUUGUCGUCAGCUCGUGUCGUGAGAUGUUGGGUUAAGUCCCGCAACGAGCGCAACCCUUAAGCUUAGUUGCCAUCAUUAAGUUGGGCACUCUAAGUUGACUGCCGGUGACAAACCGGAGGAAGGUGGGGAUGACGUCAAAUCAUCAUGCCCCUUAUGAUUUGGGCUACACACGUGCUACAAUGGACAAUACAAAGGGCAGCGAAACCGCGAGGUCAAGCAAAUCCCAUAAAGUUGUUCUCAGUUCGGAUUGUAGUCUGCAACUCGACUACAUGAAGCUGGAAUCGCUAGUAAUCGUAGAUCAGCAUGCUACGGU
rnacentral:rRNA from 1 species